GGGGAUACUGCAAUGGGGACAGCGGGGAUACAGCAAUAAGGACAGCAGGGAUACAGAGAUAAGGACAGCAGGGAUACAGUGAUGUGGACAGUGAGGACACAGCGAUGGAGACAGUGAGGAUGCAGGGAUGGGGACAGAGGGACACAGUGAUGGGGAUGCAGUGAUGGGUACAGUGGGGACACAGCGAUGGGGACACAGCAAUGGGGACAGCAGGGAUACAGAGAUAAGGACAGCAGGGAUACAGUUGCGGGGACAAUGGGAAUACUGCGAUAGGAACAGCGAGGACACAGGGAUGGGGACAGAGGGACACAGCAGUGGGAACAGAGGGGAUACAGUGAUGGGGACUGUGGGAACACAGACAUGGGGACAGCAGGGACACAGUGCUGGGGCCGCCCGGUGCCCUCUCCCUGUUCCUCCCCCUGCUUUGUCUCUGGCCCCGUCUCCCAGCCAGGCAGACACAAAGAGCCUCUGACCCGGGAGGAGAAAUACGCCUUGCAGAGAAAAUCCUCCCCAGCGCCCCGAGAGUGCGGAUGGAAGCGUGGCACCCCGGCUGCUCCCCGUAUCGCUCAGUGCCUCCAAGUGCCACUCAGUGACAUCUCCUCCACGCACACCAGGGAAGUGGCGUUUUCCCACAUCCAGGAGAUGUGCCUGAGCUCUUCCUCUGUCUCCACGUCAAAAUAAAGAGGUCCCAAUGGGACGAAUCCCCAGAAGCACAUCCUGAGGCUUCUGGGUCAUGCAGGAGCAAAAAGUCGGAUCUGGGACUUUUUUUCCCGCUCGCUGCUAUCCGUUCCCUCGAGCACUCAUAAAUCCUGGCUGUACCAAUGGGGGCUCAGGGGGGGUAGGCAGGCUGCAGGCCCGCAGUGCCCCACAAAUCCUCCUCCUACGUCUGUGUCCAAGCAUCAACAAGCAGAGCAUCACCUCACCAUCCCCUGCUGCUCUGCCGCCCUCCCAUGCGGACAGGCAUGGCAACAAGGCCACCUCUCCGCUCUCUGCCCCAUCGGCCUCCCCAGAGAUCUGAAUUCUGCUUAAGCCCUGAUUUCAGCCACAGGUGAGCGCAGCACUGAGGACGCAGCACGGUCCACCCAGAGCAUCCCUCCCUGAGCACGGCGCAGAAGAAACCCCUCUGAGAGCGCUGCACUGGGGAUGCGUUGGGCAGCUCAUUAGCUGCUGGGGUUAACGAGCUGCUCGGUGGGUUCCCUGCAGCCAGGGCUGGGCACGGGGUGAGCUGCGGGUGCAUCAGGUCGGGAGCGGCUGCACCUCUCGCAGCAUCUGCUCAGCUCUGACACGGUGCUCACUUGGGCUUUUUUUUUUUUUUAAUUGUCUUGAUGUCCCUCAUUUGCAUAAUCCCCACAAUGCAGCGCAGCAGGCCU
ensembl:lncRNA